GUCUGCCGAACUACGGAUUUAGGCGGGGAACCAUUUUUUAAAAAGACUUUGGUUCCCCUAUUUCAGAAAUAAAGCCAAACCCACCACGUGGAGAGAGGGGAGCAGCUGCCUCGGCCCUUCCCCGCUGCCACGCCGGUAGCAGGCGGGUCCGCCCAGCGCCUGGAGAGAGAGACAGCGAGAGGAGCCUGUUCUGGGUGGGGAAACUCCCGCCAAGCGCCGGGCCGUGCGGACAGCGGGGCGGCUGCAGGCGGGGUCGGGGCAGCACCAGCGGCUCAUGCUGCAAGGAGAGAGCUGCCCCCAGCGCCAGGCGCGUAGCUUCCAGGGCCUCUGGCCCGCGCUCCUUCCCGGGCCCCGCUCUGCUCACAGGCCUCUCGGCUAAUGCCGCUCGCUCCCGGGGGCUGAGGCGUGGCCAGGCCUAUAAAAGAGGCUCGGCUGGAGCAGAGCCCGGGGGCGUGGUCCACAGAGACCGGGAAUUAUGGCGACCUACGUGCAACUGAGCACUAAGGCCAAGAUGCCCAUCCUGGGGCUGGGCACCUGGCAGGCUCCUCCAGGGAAGGUGGAAGAAGCAGUGAAGUUUGCCAUCGACGUUGGAUACCGCCACUUUGACUGUGCCUAUUUGUACAAGAAUGAGAGUGAAAUAGGGGAUGGGAUCCAGCAGAAAAUCAAGGAAGGGGUUGUGAAACGGGAAGAUCUUUUUGUUGUCAGUAAGCUGUGGUGCACGUUUCAUGAGCGAUCCCUUGUGAAGGGGGCAUGCCAGAAAAGCCUUGCUGCACUGAAACUGGAUUACCUGGACCUCUACCUUAUUCAUUUUCCUAUGGGAUUCAAGGCUGGUGAGGAGAUGCAUCCUGUAGAUGACAACGGUAUGAUUGUCCCCAGUAACACUGAUAUUCUGGACACAUGGGAGGCUAUGGAAGAGCUGGUGGAUGCAGGUCUGGUGAAAGCCAUUGGAAUCUCCAACUUUAACCACAAACAGAUUGAGAGACUCUUAACUAAACCUGGUUUAAAAUUCAAGCCUGCCAACAACCAGAUUGAGUGCCACCCAUACCUUACCCAGGAGAAGCUGAUUAAGUAUUGCCAAUCCAAAGGGAUCUCUGUGACCGCAUACAGUCCCCUGGGAUCUCCUGAUAGGCCAUGGGCCAAGCCAGAGGACCCUACUCUUCUAGAGGACCCUAAGAUUAAAGAGAUUGCCGCUAAACACAACAAAACCUCUGCUCAGGUUCUGAUCCGGUUUCACAUCCAGAGGAAUGUGGCAGUCAUUCCCAAGUCUGACAAACCACACCGUAUUGAGGAGAACUUUAAGGUGUUUGACUUUGAAUUGACUAAUGAGGAGAUGGAAACCAUCCUCAGCUUUAACAGGAAUUGGAGGGUCGUUGACAUGGUCAAGUAUUUUUGCUAAGAGAUUCAUUCAACAAUAUCCAAACAAACCACUGAACUUUGACAAUCUUCUCAGCCUGUGAUCAUUUCCUGAAUCAUUUGUCUGCAGCUCCUGUUCCUAGACAGAUUGCCUCAGCACUUCUGUUCAACGACUGUGUUCCAAUCCCCACCAGGACCAAGGAAAGGAUUCUACGAGUGAUGAAAGCCUGGCUUACUAAAUCAGAGGAUGGGGAGACUGGCACUCAGGAGUUCCAUCCCUGUUCUUUACAUUGACCGUCUCUCCACACACGGCUUUGGGUAAACCAUUUAGGUUGGUAUUGCCCAGUGCUGGCCUAGCUCUGCUACCAGGGAAGUCAAUGGUAAAAGUGCCAGUGAUUUCCAUGGGAGUAGAGAGAGGCCAACACUAAGCAAUUGUGAAAAGCCCCAUCUUAAUUUCACUGUAAAAUAAGAAUAAGACCCACGUAAUAGGAGUGAUAUGAAGGUUAGUGUGUAUGUAAUGCAUUUCAUCUGCCAGAGCUUUGCAAACAUUGCAGGUGUUACUCUAAGACGGAUUUCUAAUACUGGACUGAUGAGAGAAGCCCACAGAAAGGACACUAUUUCCCCCCAUUUAAGUCUGUUUUCACAGACCGAUUGUUUUGUUCCCAAUACGGAUCACAGAUUUAAGGGACUCCUAUUAAAUAAUUAAAAUUGAUCAGAAGCUCA